AACCUUAUGGACCUGCGGGCGUAUACCUGCGGAAGGAUCAUUAAUGAAUAAAUAUGGAAUUAGAUUGUUGCUGGCUUUUAGGAGCAAGUGCACGUCUAUUCCGUCUUUAUCUAACCCACCUGUGCACUAUGUGUAGAUCUGAUAGGUAUUCGAGUACGACUCGGUCAAAAGAAUUGCUGUACAUACACCAGCUUUUCUUUAUUUCACUUCAGAUCUAUGUUUUUUUACAUACUCCAAAUG
rnacentral:misc_RNA from 1 species